rnacentral:rRNA from 1 species
UACGGGGGGUGCAAGCGUUGUUCGGAAUUAUUGGGCGUAAAGCGCGUGUAGGCGGUCUGAUUAGUCUGAUGUGAAAGCCCUGGGCUCAACCCAGGAAGUGCAUUGGAUACUGUCAGACUUGAAUACGGGAGAGGGUAGUGGAAUUCCUAGUGUAGGAGUGAAAUCCGUAGAUAUUAGGAGGAACACCGGUGGCGAAGGCGGCUACCUGGACCGAUAUUGACGCUGAGGCGCGAAAGCUAGGGGAGCAAACGGG